CUGCAUUGUCGGAACUAGAAGCACAAGCAUUUCGCUACACUCGCAUUAACAUCUGCUAACCAUGUGUAUGUGACAAAUAAAAUUUGAUUUGACACCAUAGCUGCCAGAUUUCUGCAGGUUCCCACCUCUCCACCGAUGUCCAUCCCCAUCAUACAUUAAUCUAUAUCUGACAGAGUCAAACUUUAAAAGGCCCAACGCAGACGUUUUUAUAUCAAUAUAUUUUACGGGUAUUUUACCAGGGUUCUAUCCAACCAUUUCAUGCUAAUGAAAAAAGGUAUCAACAGGACUGAUGGAAACAGGAAAUCUGCCUAAAACUUCCAAUGUUGAAAAUAAAAAUAUACGCUAGACAGGUGAUAUAUAUAUAUUUUUUUUGUUGGUGAAAUAGAUAAUGCGACAAUUGCGGUAGAAAUGCAUUUAUGCGCAAAUAUUGAUAGAACAUGUCGCAAAACACUGCGCGAUGAUUGUAGCCUACUACCACGCAUAGUUUAUCGGCAGAUAGAAUACCUUAUGAUAAACGUCAAUUUAUGGUGGUUAAAUCAAAAUAAUAACACAAUUAACAAUUGAAACAAUUAACACAGCAGACAAAAACAAGGUUUGACCACUCCUCAAAAAUAGCUUCACUCCUGCUCCUCAAAAGAGGCAAAGACGGUCAGUUCCUUGAGGAGAAUAUUUUCCUAUUCAUCCAGGCCAUCAUACAACCGUAGUUAUUUAAGGGUUGUAAAUGCGGUCUUCCCCGUCCAUCCCAAUUGCACUAGGGAGGGAAACAGUGCCUUUAAAUGUUUGGCGUUCACACCACCUUGCUGCCACUAGGGUGUCCCUUAGGAGAAAAUCUGCAUCCUUGAAGAAAAAGGAAGAAUAAAUAUUAAGAGUAGUGCCUCAUUGGGUGAUCAAGACAAAUUACACGGCACUUUCACAAUACCACCAUGCAAACAAAAGCCUUACUAAAGGGAUUUUCAGUGACAUGAAUAAAUACUCAACAAGACAUCACAACUAUUAUAUCUUGCCAUGCAUGAAGCCUUCAGCAUUACACACAGUAGACUACAUACCCAGUUCACAGCUCCCAGUUCGCCGUGCAUUUCAUUUUUAGUAUGGUCUAGAAAGAAAAUAGAUUGUGGUCAUUAAGUAAUGUAAGGGAACCUCUAGGGAUGUUUGUACAAG
rnacentral:lncRNA from 1 species